rnacentral:rRNA from 1 species
GAUGAACGCUGGCGGCGUGCCUAAUACAUGCAAGUCGAGCGAACAGACGAGGAGCUUGCUCCUCUGACGUUAGCGGCGGACGGGUGAGUAACACGUGGAUAACCUACCUAUCAGUCUGGGAUAACUUCGGGACACCGGAGCUAAUACCGGAUAAUAUAUUGAACCGCAUGGUUCAAUAGUGAAAGACGGUUUUGCUGUCUCUUAUAGAUGGAUCUGGGCCGCAUUAGCUAGUUGGUAAGGUAACGGCUUACCACGGCUACGAUGCGUAGCCGACGUGAGAGGGGGAUCGCCCACACUGGAACUGAGACACGGUCCAGACUCCUACGGGAGGCAGCAGUAGGGAAUCUUCCGCAAUGGGCGAAAGCCUGACGGAGCAACGCCGCGUGAGUGAUGAAGGUCUUCGGAUCGUAAAACUCUGUUAUUAGGGAAGAACAAAUGUGGAAGUAACUAUGCACGUCUUGACGGUACCUAAUCAGAAAGCCACGGCUAACUACGUG